AGAAUAUGGUGUACCCAAGGAGAAGCUGCUAACUUCUAACUUUAACGGUUCGACUCCGUUUAUAUUCUU
rnacentral:tRNA from 1 species